AGAGUUUGAUCCUGGCUCAGGAUGAACGCUAGCGGCAGGCUUAACACAUGCAAGUCGAGGGGCAGCGGGGAGGAAGCUUGCUUUCUCCGCCGGCGACCGGCGCACGGGUGAGUAACACGUAUGCAACCUGCCCCUGUCAGGGGGACAACCCGCCGAAAGGCGGGCUAAACCCGCGUACAUGCCACCGGGGCAUCCCGGAGGCAGGAAAGGCUCCGGCCGGACAGGGAUGGGCAUGCGGCGCAUUAGGCAGUAGGCGGGGUAACGGCCCACCUAACCGACGAUGCGUAGGGGUUCUGAGAGGAAGGUCCCCCACACUGGUACUGAGACACGGACCAGACUCCUACGGGAGGCAGCAGUGAGGAAUAUUGGUCAAUGGUCGGGAGACUGAACCAGCCAAGCCGCGUGAGGGAUGAAGGUACAGAGUAUCGUAAACCUCUUUUGUCAGGGAACAAAGGCGGGGACGCGUCCCCGGAUGAGUGUACCUGAAGAAAAAGCAUCGGCUAACUCCGUGCCAGCAGCCGCGGUAAUACGGAGGAUGCGAGCGUUAUCCGGAUUUAUUGGGUUUAAAGGGUGCGCAGGCGGUCUGUUAAGUCAGCGGUCAAAGCCCGGGGCUCAACCCCGGCCCGCCGUUGAAACUGGCAGUCUCGAGUUGGAGAGAAGUAUGCGGAAUGCGCGGUGUAGCGGUGAAAUGCAUAGAUAUCGCGCAGAACUCCGAUUGCGAAGGCAGCAUGCCGGCUCCACACUGACGCUGAGGCACGAAAGCGUGGGUAUCGAACAGGAUUAGAUACCCUGGUAGUCCACGCAGUAAACGAUGAAUGCUGGCUGUCCGGGGGGACUGACCCCUGGGUGGCGAAGCGAAAGCGAUAAGCAUUCCACCUGGGGAGUACGCCGGCAACGGUGAAACUCAAAGGAAUUGACGGGGGCCCGCACAAGCGGAGGAACAUGUGGUUUAAUUCGAUGAUACGCGAGGAACCUUACCCGGGCUCAAACGGGGAGUGACUCAGGCAGAGACGCCUGUUUCCCACGGGACACUCCCCGAGGUGCUGCAUGGUUGUCGUCAGCUCGUGCCGUGAGGUGUCGGCUUAAGUGCCAUAACGAGCGCAACCCCCGCGUGCAGUUGCUAACAGAUAACGCUGAGGACUCUGCAUGGACUGCCGGCGCAAGCCGCGAGGAAGGCGGGGAUGACGUCAAAUCAGCACGGCCCUUACGUCCGGGGCGACACACGUGUUACAAUGGGUGGUACAGCGGGAAGCCAGGCGGCGACGCCGAGCGGAACCCGAAAUCCACUCUCAGUUCGGAUCGGAGUCUGCAACCCGACUCCGUGAAGCUGGAUUCGCUAGUAAUCGCGCAUCAGCCAUGGCGCGGUGAAUACGUUCCCGGGCCUUGCACACACCGCCCGUCAAG
rnacentral:rRNA from 1 species